rnacentral:rRNA from 1 species
GACGAACGCUGGCGGCGUGCUUAACACAUGCAAGUCGAGCGGUAAGGCCCUUUCGGGGGUACACGAGCGGCGAACGGGUGAGUAACACGUGGGUGACCUGCCCUUAGCUCUGGGAUAAGCCUGGGAAACUGGGUCUAAUACCGGAUAUGACUCCAUGACGCAUGUUGUGGGGUGGAAAGCCUUGUGCGGCUAGGGAUGGGCCCGCGGCCUAUCAGCUUGUUGGUGGGGUGANGGCCUACCAAGGCGACGACGGGUAGCCGGCCUGAGAGGGCGACCGGCCACACUGGGACUGAGGCACGGCCCAGACUCCUACGGGAGGCAGCAGUGGGGAAUCUUGCGCAAUGGGCGAAAGCCUGACGCAGCGACGCCGCGUGGGGAUGACGGCCU